UUUACAUAGACAACAUGAAGGGCAAUUUACUCUAAGGCUGCCUGUUUUCUGUGUUGUAUCAGGUGCUGGAUUGGUGUCAGCGUCGCUUGCGGGUGAAUAUAGCGUUGAUGGACGGCGGUGAAACCCUCUAUCAUUUUUUACACAUCACUUUAACAACUGAAGGCAUGCUCUUUCACUGCCACACAGGAGACAUGGCAGAGAAUAGAAAGAAAGAGAAAGAAGGGAAAGAGCUUUCAAAAGAGAAAUGGGAUCCCUGCGCUUGACAAAGGGAGUUCGCUUAAAGGUAUCAUUAUUCCUAGAGAAAGAAGCGAGUCUCCAAGAGCAGAUGAGACUUUAGCGUCGCAGCCUGAGGCCAAACGCAUAAAAAAAGACCACAAGAAGGUGUAGAAGGGCCGGAUCGGGACACAUGUCCCAGCUGGGCUGCCUUUGCUCAGCCGUGCUUUGGUGUCUCAUCCGAUUUGCACGCGGCUCCGUAACGCCAUUGUACUAUACGUGGGCGAGAAGAUGAAAGAUUUGAGAGAAAUGAUGAUAAUUCCAGGCAUUUUGAAGGUAGUUAGAGAUGCUUUAUGAUACUGAUGGAUCGCUUUGCUAUAAAGGUGAAGAUAAAGCUUAUCAAAUGGCCUCUGCUUUAGUCACACUUGUGUGGAGAGAGUUGUCGGUUUGUAUGGCCUGUCUGAUGUGGUGAAAAAUUAUAUAAUAUGCAAC
ensembl:lncRNA